rfam:Schistosoma curassoni strain Dakar, Senegal genome assembly, scaffold: SCTD_scaffold0009743
GACUUUAUGAUCUGUGCCGAAAUUUCGUCAGAUACGAAUCCACCAGGGCUGAUAAAACUUGCAAGACAAAUGAAGUA